CGAGGAGGAGGAGGAGGAGGACGAGGAGGAGGAGGAGGAGGACGGGGAGGAGGAGGAGGAGGAGAGAGCAGAGUGUACCGCAGACAUCAUUUCUACUACAGUGGCGGAGCCGUACAGGACCUGUUUCACUGCAGGGGGAUCACAAAACAAGCCCCGCGGAGCAGCCGCCAGAGCUACAGCAGCCGCAAGACACUGUUUCUCUCCCUCUGCCCCCCCUUCCCCACGCAACCCCAGAUCCAUUUACACUUUACAGAGCAUCGUGCAGCAGCCAGUCCCCAGGGUGGUCCGUUCAAGCUGCGGAUUUGUUUGCCAUCACUCUAAGACAAUCUCCUCCUCCACGGCCACUCCAGGGAAGUGCAUCACAAAUCAGGUCACAGAGAGUGCUGGUGGACAUCUCUCCUUGCCUUAAGAUCUUCGUUGGAAGUCCACGGGACUUGGUGUCUUUGCCGUUCAAAGUAGCUAUGAGCUCGCCAGGAGGCAUAAUGCGUCACCAUUUUAUUCUGGGCCACCCUAAAGGAUGACACCCAGCUCCAGAGACCUCCUCUCGGACAUCAUCCCUGAGAACCAGUGUUUUAGCUCUUCCAUUGUCUGAAAUCUGUUUCCGACUGGUUUUGAGCUGGCUCAGGCUUAGUCAUUAAAUGCCUAGGACAAUGUUGAAUGCUUUUCCUGAUCACCUUGCAGCCACACACCUUUUGUCGCUCUCGUUGAGUCUUGACACAGAUAAUGCUCAGAAACAGGCACCAAUCCAUUCUUUCCAUCUUGGCGUUUCCCCACAGGCACAGUCCUGGGAUGACCUGGAAUUGAGGCAGCGGAGGAUAAAUUCAUCUUUCACCGACGUGUUCGUGCUAGCUCUAGUCUGUCUCUCUAGCUUUUAAAUACUCGAGUGAUUGGUUUUGUGUAGAAAUGUGUGGAUUGUUGGAUUGGGAGAAUUUUCUCCCUGGAUUUCUAGUGUUUACAGAAGCAGAUAGAAAGAAAGGUUCUAUCAUGGGUUUAAAUAGCAGGGCCUGUUUUAAUGAGUUAGAGGCACUUAAAGAUGGUACAGAAUAAAAAUGUAAGUUUAAAAAUUUUUUUUAAAUUG
rnacentral:lncRNA from 1 species